GCAUGGGUUUGGAUUCAUGGCAGGCCCAUCCCCUGGGGUUUCUCAUAGUGCCUCAUGCCAGAGCAAACUGUGGCCUUGAACCUUUGCCUGGCCUCUGCCCAUAGGCUGCAGGCACUCAAGUUGGUUGCACAGUG